rfam:Triticum aestivum genome assembly, contig: Triticum_aestivum_CS42_TGACv1_scaffold_591930_7BS
GUCAUACUUCCUCCGUUCGAAAUUACUUGUCACAUAAAUGGAUAAAAAUAAAUGUAUAUACAACUAAAAGACAUCUAGAUACAUUCUUUUUUUGCACGAGUAAUUCCGAACGGAGGGAGUAUAAA